GACAUGCUAUCUUGUUUCGUAAGUACUGCUAUUUAAGGUUAGCCUUGCAGAACUAUCUUUUAAUGUUCCCAGUUUAUCCUAAAGUAUUUUAGCCUAAAUUUCCUGUCAUUUAGAUAGAUGUGGGUUAUGCUAAUCUGACUGGUGUUAUGGUAUUGUAGCUACUGCACAUGUCCCUCGAUUUCCCAGUUCCAUGUGUCAGGAUGCUAAUAUGGGUGUUACUAUAUUGCCUUCCAGUUUAUCCUAAAGUAUUUUAGCCUAAAUUUCUUGUGUCAUUUAGAUAGAUGUGGGUUAUGCUAAUCUGACUGGUGGGUUAUGCUAAUCUGACUGGUAAGUAUGGUAUUGUAGCUACUGUACAUGUCCCUCAAUUUCCCAGUUCCAUGUGUCAGGAUGCUAAUAUGGGUGUUACUAUAUUGCCUUCCAUUUUGUAAUAUGUUAUGUUUGCAAUUUCUCAGGGCCGCCGCCGCCGCCGUCCAUAGCAACGCAUAGGCCGCUUGCCCAGCUCCCUCAUUCCGAGCACGACACCACGCGUCGGAGCUUGUCGGGAGGCACGGAAGGACGAACAGAGUUCUACCGGUGAUCCGUGUUGUCGCUGACAGUGUCAUAGGAUCUGCGGUGCACGUGGACAAGGCGAUGGGGCUGCCAACCUACCUCCUCUUCACCACAGCGCGUGUGGAUUCUUGGGCUACCUCAACUUGGAUCAACUUUUUCAAGAGGGGAUGCUUGCCAUUCAGAGGAUCUGAUGGAGAAGAUAAAGACAACUAAUACGCUGAAAAUGAUUUUACAUCCUGGUUCGAAAAGUAAAAGGGAAAUCUUCGAGUAAAGGUAUGUUCUACUGCAAAGGAACUUCCCGAGGGAUCCCAUUGAAAUUGAAAGUAUGUUUCUUUUUUUAUUCCUAGAUUUUGAGCAUCUUGAAGGUUCAUCACUUGAUUUUCACUACUACAUCAUGUUUUAUGUAACUCCACACCACCAGAGUCUGGUAAUGCAAUUCCACCUCCCUUUCUUUGUUCUGAGUCAAUGUUAAUCAUCCGACCGGAGUUGGUCAAUGCUAGAGGAUUUGGCUUGGUGGUGGCAUUGCAUAUAGCAGCUUGUGGAAUGGUAAUGUUGCUGCCGUAGCCUUGAUUGCUUUGUAGUUUCAUCCUAGGAAGCAUUUAGGCUGUUAUGAACCUGGAUGUUUCACUUUAGGUUGGUUAAUUCAACUUCUUGAUGUCAGUGACGUAUUGUUUUUCUUUAACCUGCUAGGAGUCUUGGGUACUGUCAUGGUGAUGAUGUCAAACAACCUUCAUCGACAGGUACAAAUAGUUUAGGUUGUGUUUUGCCUUGUGUUAUCCCGUCUCUAUUUUUUUAUUCAUGUACCUUUGUAUAGUUGUAUCCCCUUUUAAACAGUAGAGAUUUAUUGGCCAAGAGAAAAUCUUGUUACAUUUGAGGCUAAUAUCUUGCUAAUUUCAGUUAUGUUAUUGUGAAACCAAGACCUUGGAAAAUACCGGUUAGUGAUCCUAACAAGUAUUUGUGUGCAGUAUACUAAGAUUGUUAUGUCUUGCUUUAAAUCUUCCUGUAUAUAAGAAAAUUUAAAGUAGCACCGGAACUUCUUAAACUAACCAGCCAACAAAUAUAUCAGCAUAUUCACGGUUAAGACAACUCACAAAUAGAAAUAUUUUGCUGGCAAUAUCUACCUAAUACGACUGAAGAUAAAUGUUCUUGAUGUGUGCCGCUUGGAUAAGAGAUUUGAUGAUGCUAAUUGAGAACUUUACCUGACCAAUAAUCCGCGACAUUGUGAUGGUUGCAUAGAUUAGAAAAUGAAUGGACAAUGUAUUUUUUUGCCAUCUUAAUGUUAAAUAAUUACCCUGUACCUUAGUACCUAUAGAUAAUAUUUUUGUAUAGCAAAGGUGAUGGCUAGAUCAUAAAAUUGGCGGAUUUGCAUGCCUGAUAUGAAAGUACAAUUCGUACUCAUAGUGAGAUUUUUUAUCGCUCAAUAUAUCAGAUGCUUCAUUCUUGGGUGUUCAUUGUAUAUCUUAUUACGAUGAAGACAUACUUCCCAUUGUGUUAUCCUGCCAAUGAAUGUAUUCAAUUUAUAGUGUAGUGGCUAAUUUCAUGAACUAAAUAGGUGUUAUAGAAUUUUUUUUCUUUUCAUUUUAAUUGUGUAUAUGUAGUUCUGCACAACACGCCUUCUUGCUGAGUUAUAUCAACAGAAGCCAGUAUGCUAAAAUUAACAAAGCUCUUAUGCGACAUUUACUUAUGUGAUGUGGAUCAAUCUAAACAAGUUUUUUUGGUUAGUUUGUCUAUUUUUUCAGGGAUAAACUGCCUUAACCGAAGCAGCAUAUGUUGGAGAAUGUAGAUUCAGCUUUUGUUUCAGUAGCUUUGGAGGUAUCCUAUAUGACUAUGAGUGAUAUACUCUCCUGUCUCCUCCCUCCAUUUUACUCGAGUUAACCCCUGUACGCACAUCUCUACGUCUGCCUUCAGGAACGGGGUGAUACGUGAUAUACGUAUACGGGUAAGGAAUGCUGGUUGUCUGUGAUUUUCAUGGUGGUGGAAAGGAAUGUGCGAAGAGACAAGCUGCAGGGACCAUAUGAUGCAGAAGGAACGGAGACGGGCCAUGCAAGAAAAUCCAUACCAAACGAACUCCAAACGUGAUGAGACUUUUUGACGAUUUUUGGAACAUAAGAGACCCCCGAAACUUCGUGGGAGGAUUAGAAGACCCAUGAGGAGGUGACAAGGCAACCCGACACGCCCAUGGGGGUGGCCACACAGGGAUACCUUAUGGGCCCCUCGUAACUCCAUUUUGCGUGAUUCCAACUCUGAAAAUUCUUAUAAAUAGGGAACCCCCAAAAAAUAAACCUAUAACUUCAACUCCACCACCGCAAGCCUCUGUUCUGAAGAGAUCCCAUCUGGAGGCCUUUUCCGACACCCUGCCGGAGGGGGAAAUCAUCACCGGAGGCCACUUCGUCAUCCCGGUGGUCUCCAUGAGGAGG